AGGUCUGAAAGGUAAGUUAUUUUCUCUAUUUAUAUCAUGGGGAGGGGGCAGUAAUCUAAAUAGUCAAUCCAAAGACAAUUGUUUGCGUUUUUAAUUGUUGGGUUUUUUUUUAAGUCACACCAAAAAUGUUGAUCAAUAUACAAAAAUGAGAGGGUGUUUUAGGGUAAAAUAAAAGUACCACAAUGCACUCUUUGAGUGUCAGGUUUAUUAGCAAAAAUGCUGAUGUCCUGUUGCUAUCAGAUCUUUUCUCCAGUGUGGCAUUCAUGGUAGUAACAAAAUCUUCUAGGCCAGUGAUGGCGAACCUUUUUGAGCCAGAAUGCCCAAACAGCAAUACAUGCUAACUUUUUUCCCCUCAAAGUGCCAACACGGCAAUUAAACCUGAAUACUGAGGUUUACGUUUAGAGGGAGUGCUUUGUG